rnacentral:rRNA from 1 species
UGGCGUGCCUUUUGUAGAAUGAACCGGCGAGUUACGAUCCCAUGCAAGGUUAAGUUGAAGAGACGGAGCCGUAGCGAAAGCGAGUCUGAAUAGGGCGUUUAGUAUGUGGUUGUAGACCCGAAACCAGGUGAUCUACCCAUGUCCAGGGUGAAGUUCAGGUAACACUGAAUGGAGGCCCGAACCCACGCACGUUGAAAAGUGCGGGGAUGAGGUGUGGGUAGCGGAGAAAUUCCAAUCGAACCUGGAGAUAGCUGCUUCUCUCCGAAAUAGCUAUAGGGCUAGCCUCACGUUGUGAGAGU